GAGAGAAAGCACGCGGUUAACGGCGAUAAUUGAUUUCGCUGAGGAAAGUCCUCCCACCUGUCGGGCAGACAGCCGUACACAAGUACGGGCGGUGAGAACCGCAGCAAUGGAACAGAAACGACACAGCCUGUUUAGAGUAAUGAAGCAGUAUGCUGCCGAACGUCGAAGAACAGGAUUUGAUGGAACGGCGAAUCUCUGUAGGUGCAAGUUGAAACAGGGUUAUAAGAGCCUGACCUUACCCGGGUACAACGCUGAGCUGAAUACCGCAUAAAACAUGAGGAGGCUUAUUACUUUCACUC
rnacentral:RNase_P_RNA from 1 species